ACCUCGCCAUUGCUCGUCUUUCCUGAUUGCCUGGCAGGAUAUGUAGCUACCUUUUCUUCGGCAACAUGGCAUGGACUGCAGGGAUCUUCUCUGGUUGUUUGGUUAGGUUUGCAACUGACUUUUCUCCAAUCUUUCUGGGAGAAUUGCACAUUCUUUUCUUCCCUAUUUCUCUGAUUUGUUCUUUCUGCAGUUUUAUUUCUUGGUUGUUUGUGAUUGGGAGGAACUGCUAUUGUCAGAGAGAGAGGUGUCACCAGUCACCCCCUGCGUUUCUUUGUUCAGCCCUCAGUACACAGGCAAAACUCGGUUAUUGUGGAUCCUAACCUUGGGCUAACCUCUCUCCUACUCUUGCUCCUUAUUGAUUCAUGGCAAGUCUCUGGAAACAUGAUGAUAUUAAUUCUUGUGAACCCUAAUGGUGGCUUCUUGUCUGGCUAUUAUAUCUGUAGCAGGAACCUGAAGAACUAGUUGAGGCAAUCUCACACAAGCAUCACUAUCUUCUUUUGGCCAUGAUUGGCUUGGUGGCGGGGGAGGUUAUGUUCUCAGUGGCUGGUAGAGCUUCAUGAAGCAUAAAAUCUGAGGCGUCUUAGCUCUGAUUAAUUCAUGAAUUUAUCAGGGGAUUAGGGAUAUGAAGUUACCUAACAUACUUUUAGAUUCAGACCUCAAUGCCAUGGUAAUGGUAUGACUAUAUUUUAAUUAUAGUCAGUAAGAAUAGUACUGUUGACCAUAACUCGUAUACCACUUGAAGAAAAAGAAAAAGAAAAAGAAAACAGUUCAUGUAUCAUUUAUUGGUGUGCAGAUUUUCGGAUUUUGGCCUUGCAGUUAUAGGUGUAAAUCACAGCAAAGGUAAUCUGAAGCUUCCCUGAACUUUGGGCUAUCUUGCUCCUCAGUACUUAUCAUAUGGUCUGUCCUUCUUUUCUUCUUGUUCUUCAUCUGCAAUCUACUUUCUACUGUAAACGUUGAUGAUGUCCUAUUUUGUUACGUGCAACUAUAUUCAAUACAGGGAAGUUGAUUGAGAAGAGCGAUUUAUAUGUAUGUGCUGGGUGUAGUGCUUCUGGAGCUUUUAUUGCGAAGGAGGCCAAUUGAGAAGAUGGCACCAUCUCAAUGCCAAUCAAUUGUUGCAUGGGUAUUCUAAAAAUUAGCUAGAACUGGUCCAGUUAAGCAGUGUUCACUUUCAGCAUGCAUAGAUUAUUUCUGAUUUCACCACCUGAAUCUGGGCAAUUUGCAUUUGCCCAUUCCAUUAGCAUAUGACACAUUUGAUAUCAAAUGCAGGCCAUGCCUAAGCUAAUUGACAGAUCAAAGCUCCCAACCAUACAUAAUUGACCCUGUGAUGAAGAACAGGAUGGACCUGAAGCACUUGUACCAAGUACUACUCACAAUCAACAUUAGCUCAUAAUUGUUUCUUUCAUUUGUUUUCAGGUUACUGCACUGGCUGUGCUCUGUGUGCAGCCAGAACCAAGUUACAGGCCACUAAUCACAGAUGUACUCAUAUGUCAAGCUGGCUUCUUGGAGUAGCACAUUGCUUCCUGUCGAAUACUUGUCCCUCUGCAGCUGCAGCUGGUGGUCACAUGUCUUCAUGGCCUGAGGUUGCUCCCAGUGGCGGACGCCUCAGAGGGGCUUGCUACCGGUGCGAGGGUCGCUCGAUUUGCUGUUGCUAUGAUGCUAUCAAUGGCGCUAGGCUGUUAGGGUUCUUGUGCUAGUUCAGUGUAGUAGUGUUGUUUUUUUCUCUUUUGAUUGCUUGAUCUUUGUUCUGCUUUGUAAGAGGACUUCCUCAACACCUUGUAUCGUCUGACCGAGCUGGCUUUAUUAAUUUAAAGCUGGGCUGCAAAGCCUUCUAUCUAAAAUAACAGAUGUACUCCA